rnacentral:rRNA from 1 species
AACGAACGCUGGCGGCAUGCCUAACACAUGCAAGUCGAACGAGACCUUCGGGUCUAGUGGCGCACGGGUGCGUAACGCGUGGGAAUCUGCCCAAAGGUUCGGAAUAACUCGGGGAAACCCGUGCUAAUACCGGAUGAUGUCUUCGGACCAAAGAUUUAUCGCCUUUGGAUGAGCCCGCGUCGGGUUAGCUAGUUGGUGAGGUAAAGGCUCACCAAGGCGACGAUCCGUAGCUGGUCUGAGAGGAUGAUCAGCCACACUGGGACUGAGACACGGCCCAGACUCCUACGGGAGGCAGCAGUGGGGAAUAUUGGACAAUGGGCGAAAGCCUGAUCCAGCAAUGCCGCGUGAGUGAUGAAGGCCUUAGGGUUGUAAAGCUCUUUUACCCGGGAUGAUAAUGACAGUACCGGGAGAAUAAGCCCCGGCUAACUCCGUGCCAGCAGCCGCGGUAAUACGGAGGGGGCUAGCGUUGUUCGGAAUUACUGGGCGUAAAGCGCACGUAGGCGGCUUUG